GCUUACCUCAGCCUGUCGCUGCUUUGGGGUUCCAGCUGCUGGCCCCUAGCCAGCCGGGGUCCCCCCACUGCCGCCCCACUCACCUUGCUUCUGGUUGGAGUUC